CCUCCCUAAGCCUUUAGGGGUUUCGACUUUUCUAAAACCCGAAAUAAAGAAUAGAUUCGAAAACUUACCACCGGUUCCUUCAGUCAAUGAUUCCACUUAGUUCCUAUUCAGUUCUGAUGUAGAUCUAACCCCUCGAAUGUUAGCAGAAAACAAAUCUUUAAAGGUCUAAAGAUUCAGCUAUGCCCCUAAGACUAUGGGGUUUUGGGCUUUUUGAAAUAGUGAAGAGAAAGA
rnacentral:lncRNA from 1 species